UACGAAGGGUGCAAGCGUUACUCGGAAUUACUGGGCGUAAAGCGUGCGUAGGUGGUUCGUUAAGUCUGAUGUGAAAGCCCUGGGCUCAACCUGGGAACUGCAUUGGAUACUGGCGAUCUGGAGUGCGGUAGAGGGUAGCGGAAUUCCCGGUGUAGCAGUGAAAUGCGUAGAUAUCGGGAGGAACAUCCGUGGCGAAGGCGGCUACCUGGACCAGCACUGACACUGAGGCACGAAAGCGUGGGGAGCAAACAGGAUUAGAUACCCUGGUAGUCCACGCCCUAAACGAUGCGAACUGGAUGUUGGGUGCAACUUGGCACUCAGUAUCGAAGCUAACGCGUUAAGUUCGCCGCCUGGGAAGUACGGUCGCAAGACUGAA
rnacentral:rRNA from 1 species